GAUGAACGCUGGCGGCGUGCCUAAUACAUGCAAGUCGAGCGAACAGACGAGGAGCUUGCUCCUCUGACGUUAGCGGCGGACGGGUGAGUAACACGUGGAUAACCUACCUAUAAGACUGGGAUAACUUCGGGAAACCGGAGCUAAUACCGGAUAAUAUAUUGAACCGCAUGGUUCAAUAGUUAAAGACGGUUUUGCUGUCACUUAUAGAUGGAUCCGCGCCGCAUUAGCUAGUUGGUAAGGUAACGGCUUACCAAGGCGACGAUGCGUAGCCGACCUGAGAGGGUGGUUGGCCACACUGGAAGUGAGACAGGGUACAGACUCCGAGGGGAGGAAGCAGUAGGGAAUCUUCCGCGAUGGGGGAAAGGCUGACGGAGCAACGCCGCGUGAGUGAUGAAGGUCUUCGGAUCGUAAAACUCUGUUAUUAGGGAAGAACAAAUGUGUAAGUAACUAUGCACGUAUUGACGGUACCUAAUCAGAAAGCCACGGCUAACUACGUG
rnacentral:rRNA from 1 species